GUAAUGAAUGGGAGAGGAUGAGAGAAUGAGCAGCUGCGGGUGAUUUAAAUUUAGUGACACAGGCUUUGACGCUGAGAAAAACAGGGAGACAGAGAGAAGGCGCCAACAGGCUGACGUAAAUGGCCCGGGGAGACGACCGAGAAGGGAGACCAAGCAGCACCUUCAGCAGAGGAGUGCAUUCGCCUUAGAGGCUACGGUCACCAGUCGCAGGAAUCGCAUAUAUCCUUUGGUCCCAUGUUGAGAGAGGUGAAGAACCUACCAAGAGAAGAAAGACUUAUCAUGGUUUUGGUCGUCGUCAGCCUGGUGGCUGGCUCCACUCUUGUCGCGGUGACGCUACUGCUGGUGUGGCUGGCCUACCGUCGCCGGGCGAGCUGGUCCGCUCCCCUCAGCAGCUCCGCCACGAGCCUGCUGUGGCUGUCUGAGGUGACUUGAUCCUACCGUGACCAAGGAGGAGCCACGGCCAAUUAGAAGUGAUCACGUUCUCACCAAAAUAACGGCAGACAAUUACAUUAGUCAACAGACAUUGGAACAGUCAAUCAUAUUAGCCGUAGAGCAGAGGCGGCCACUCGCAUCAGCCACUAUAGGCCAGACUUGAAGUGGAGAAGCAAUCCAAUUCACACCUCCUCUCACAGGUGACACAGCUGUUGCAGUCAAAUUUCACACUUAACCAAGAGCAACCCAUUAUCAUUCACUGAAAAUAAACACCUUCCCCCGAAUAGAAAAGCUGCUCUGAGCCCUUUAUUUUCACUCAGUGGCAACAAAUCAAUUCUCUAUGUAUGAGAUUUGCUGCUUGAUACAGGUUUAUAUUUAAAAUAUAUGCAUUCCUGGUUUGGCUUUUAGAGUUAGAGCCCCUGCGCACAUUUACUGAAUGUAGACACAUUUACUGCAUGUAAACAUGAAGCAUGAGACAUAAACCUCCACUGAGAAGAACAAAAAUACUGGAAGUCGAAAACAUAUAAACAUAUAUAUAACAACAUAUAAUACAUAAAACAAAUAUUAAUAUACUUUUUUCAUUGUGUAUCAUUUUAAAUCAUUGCAGGCUUGACUUGCCCUAUUUUUGUGAUGUCCUCUCAUUUCCACUUCCUCUUCUACAAUAGUUUAUUGCCACCUGAAGAAUAAAACUCUAGGGAGUUUUCCACCACAGAAUCUGCUGAAAUAACCCCCGACCCCACCAGCUUAAAACCAAACCUUUUCUAUGAAUAAGAAGUG
rnacentral:lncRNA from 1 species